rnacentral:rRNA from 1 species
ACAUCUAAGUAGCCGGAGGAAGAGAAAACAAAAGUGAUUCCGGGAGUAGUGGCGAGCGAAACCGGAUUAGCCCAAACCAGUGUUGUUUCGGCAAUACUGGGGUUGUAGGACCACGACAUUGAUUGCGUAAUGAAUUAGAACACUUUGGAAAGAGUGACCGAAGAGGGUGAUAGUCCCGUACAAGUAAAGAGCGUUAAUUAUAGUGGUAUCCUGAGUAGUGCGGGGCACGUGAAACCCUGUAUGAAUCAAGCGGGACCAUCCGUUAAGGCUAAAUACUCCUGAGAGACCGAUAGUGAACCAGUACCGUGAGGGAAAGGUGAAAAGAACCCUGAAUAAGGGAGUGAAAAAGAUCCUGAAACCAUACGCUUACAAGCGGUCGGAGCCCGUAAGGGGUGACGGCGUGCCUUUUGCAUAAUGAGCCUACGAGUUACUUUUACUAGCAAGGUUAAGCACUUCA